UUGGCCAGUUUGACACCACUGAUCUAAGAGGAAUUAAAUUUUUGCAAAAUCAAAUUGAAGGUAAGAACCAAUAUAAAAUGUCAUUGUGUGUGUUAAGAGUGUCAGACUUU